rnacentral:rRNA from 1 species
CCUACGGGUGGCUGCAGUGGGGAAUAUUGCACAAUGGGGGAAACCCUGAUGCAGCGACGCCGCGUGAGUGAAGAAGUAUCUCGGUACGUAAAGCUCUAUCAGCAGGAAAGAAAAUUACGGUACCUGACUAAGACGCCCCGGCUAACUACGUGCCAGCCGCCGCGGUCAUACGUAGGGGGCAAGCGUUAUCCGGAUUUACUGGGUGUAACGGGAGCGUAGACGGCGCGGCAAGUCCGGGGUGAAAGCCCAUGGCUUAACCAUGGUACUGCUCUGGAAACUGGAGAGGUUGAGUGCGGGAGGGGCAGGCGGAAAUCCGAGUGUAGCGGUGAAAUGGGAAGAUAUUAGGAGGAACACCGGCGGCGAAGGCGGCCUGCUGGACCGGAGCUGACGUUGAGGCUCGAAAGCGUGGGGAGCAAACAGGAUUAGAUACCCCUUGUAGUC